GCCGAGAUGGUGAAACCGGUAGACACGUUACUUUGAGGGGGUAAUGCUGUAUAAGCGUGCGGGUUCGAAUCCCGCUCUCGGCA
rnacentral:tRNA from 2 species